UGCAAGUCGAACGGUAACAUUUCUAGCUUGCUAGAAGAUGACGAGUGGCGGACGGGUGAGUAAUGCUUGGGAACUUGCCUUUGCGAGGGGGAUAACAGUUGGAAACGACUGCUAAUACCGCAUAAUGUCUACGGACCAAACGGGGCUUAGGCUCCGGCGCAAAGAGAGGCCCAAGUGAGAUUAGCUAGUUGGUAAGGUAAAGGCUUACCAAGGCGACGAUCUCUAGCUGUUCUGAGAGGAAGAUCAGCCACACUGGGACUGAGACACGGCCCAGACUCCUACGGGAGGCAGCAGUGGGGAAUAUUGCACAAUGGGGGAAACCCUGAUGCAGCCAUGCCGCGUGUGUGAAGAAGGCCUUCGGGUUGUAAAGCACUUUCAGUUGUGAGGAAAAGUUAGUAGUUAAUACCUGCUAACCGUGACGUUAACAACAGAAGAAGCACCGGCUAACUCCGUGCCAGCAGCCGCGGUAAUACGGAGGGUGCGAGCGUUAAUCGGAAUUACUGGGCGUAAAGCGCACGCAGGCGGUUUGUUAAGCUAGAUGUGAAAGCCCCGGGCUCAACCUGGGAUGGUCAUUUAGAACUGGCAGACUAAAGUCUUGGAGAGGGGAGUGGGAAUCCAGGUGUAGCGGUGAAAUGCG
rnacentral:rRNA from 1 species